rnacentral:lncRNA from 1 species
GGUUUUUGUGGGUUGGGAAAAGGUAAAGUUGCAUUGGAAGAGUGAAAAUGUGUGUGAGUAGUUGAAAGUGUCUCAGCAUGUAAUAAAAUGUGCAAAAGUGACCUUGAAUGUAAUACUUUCGUAUAGAUGUGUGGAGUUAGUAUGUUGGAGCUUUGGUCUCUUCUAUUCAGAGUUUUGUAGUUCUUUAUUGGCAUGGACGCUUUGUAUGUGGUUGUUUUGUUUUUGAAGUCUUUCUUACCUCUUAGCUGGUGGUUGUGCUUUAGGCAGGUGUUUUCCUGCUUCGUGGUGACUUUGGUCUAUCGUUGAUUAUUCUUCCUCUGAUUUGUUUUUUUUUGGUUUUCUGGAUUGGUGUUUGAUCGCGUUCAUUUGUGUUCCAGACUUUUAUUGAGUUAAUGCUACUAUAAUAUUUUGUUUUUUCUUUGUGAUGCGGAGAUUUAGGUUUAAAUAUGUGUUGUAUUCUAGUUUUUUUGUUUAGUUAUUUUAUAAUUUUUAAUAUUCAAAUAAUUUUAUAAUUUGUAAUAAAAUAAUAGAAAAUAGUAAAAAAUAAUAAAAUAGUAAAAGUUUAUGUUAUUUUUUAGUUCUGAAUAAAUAAAAUAUUUAAAAUAUAUUUAUAUAAUUUAAUUUUUUUCUUUAUUCAUCUUCAAUUUUACUGACCAAUAAA